AAUCAACGCUGGCGGCGUGCCUCAGACAUGCAAGUCGAACGAUUAAAGCUCUCUUCGGAGAGUGUAUAGAGUGGCGCACGGGUGAGUAACACGUAAGUAAUCUACCCUCGAGUGGGGAAUAACAACCGGAAACGGUUGCUAAUACCGCAUAAUGCAGCGGCACCGCAAGGUGACAGUUGUUAAAGAUUUAUCGCUUGAGGAGGAGCUUGCGGCAGAUUAGCUAGUUGGUAGGGUAACGGCUUACCAAGGCUACGAUCUGUAACCGGUCUAAGAGGACGGUCGGUCACACUGACACUGAAUAACGGGUCAGACUCCUACGGGAGGCAGCAGUCGGGAAUUUUGGGCAAUGGGCGAAAGCCUGACCCAGCAACGCCGCGUGAAGGAUGAAGUAUUUCGGUAUGUAAACUUCGAAAGAAUAGGAAGAAUUAAUGACGGUACUAUUUAUAAGGUCCGGCUAACUACGUGCCAGCAGCCGCGGUAAAAGCACGACUGU
rnacentral:rRNA from 1 species